CAGCCGCCACGGGAAUACAGAGGGUGCGAGCGUUAAUCGGAUUUACUGGGCGUAAAGCGUGCGUAGGCGGCUUCUUAAGUCGGAUGUGAAAUCCCUGAGCUUAACUUAGGAAUUGCAUUCGAUACUGGGAAGCUAGAGUAUGGGAGAGGAUGGUAGAAUUCCAGGUGUAGCGGUGAAAUGCGUAGAGAUCUGGAGGAAUACCGAUGGCGAAGGCAGCCAUCUGGCCUAAUACUGACGCUGAGGUACGAAAGCAUGGGGAGCAAACAGGAUUAGAGACCCCCGUAGUCCCUGUCUCUUAUAC
rnacentral:rRNA from 1 species